rnacentral:lncRNA from 1 species
GUUUUCAGUGGAUUCUCUGUUUGCUCACAAAGUCAAGAGAGGAAAGAAGAAAACCUUCCUGUUCCACACACACGCUGAUGACUGGCAGAUGGAAAACCUAUUUUCAAGUGAACUUGGAGCAUGGGCACUCUCUUGGAGAGAAGGAAUAAAAAGAGAGAACUGCAAAAAAAGUUUGAAGAGCCCUGUGCUCCUGAAGGGCUGCCUGCCCUUCAUUUUAGCAGCACACGAGAACCGUGAGAGGAAGACAGUUCCAGGCUUUGGACCAAAUAAAGACAUUUGCUGAAUGUGAGCCAAGACCCUUACCGGAUGGCAAACCUUUCAGCUGAGAUGGAUUAGGAUAGGUAAGCAGCAGCGUGCAGACUAACUAUUGCACUGGCAAGCUUCUGAGCUUUCCUGUCUUAUUUUAACUGAUCUCUUGUUUUUCUGGG